UUCAGGAUUUUGCAAGACAGCAGAGAGAUAGAAAUGGCCGUGGGCUGCGAGGCAGCCAGCAAACCGUAUCCAGCGGGAAAAAAUGGCCGUGGCCCUGACCACCUGCUGCCACUUUGAUACCGCCGCUAGAAUCUCAUUUAGCCGUGUAAUUCCGACGUUCAUUGACGAUGGAUCGUCUCUCCUCUGCGGCAUUGUAGGUGUACUGAAACACUUCGUACCUUCUAAUAUAUGAUCGAUCAAGAAGACCGAGCGGAACAUCGUGCGCGUACAGCGUUACCAGAAUCCAUGGCGCGUGAACCAGUCGUGUUUCUCCCAGGAAAAAAUCGUUUCGCUCGAUUUCCAACAGCCUCAUCGUUCCACAGCACCGACAGUCACUCGCAGCUCCAACUGUAUCUUAAACUGAACUUCAUAGUUGUAAUAAAUCUGAUCCAAGUAUUCCUGGUGCCUUUCUGCUGCACUCGUUAGCGUCUGGAAUAUUUGGUUUCACAAAAAGUUCCAUAAAAUUGCCAUAUGGAUUUGUCAAUUAAAAUCGAAGACAGAUUGUAACGAAGAUCGUAAGGAAUAAUUAAAAGACAAGGCGAUAGAAUCAGCGAAGGACAAACAUAGUUCUAUGGCCGUAAGUCUGCGGACAUGGCACCCGAUUUCCGGCAAUGAAUAGCCGCUGAUUGUUUGCGCCGCGUCACGGUUUUACAGUCGCGUUUAAUUCAAUUUGUGAGUGACUUACGAUGUCUGUCAUUAGUCAUCGUGAGGCGUGUGCGCGCCCGCGCGCCUCGUAGCUCCUUCGUAUACACCGUGCAAGAAGAAGAAGAAGAAGAAGAAGAAGAGGAGGAGGAAGAGGCUGCGGAGCGAGUACAAGGUUUACACGGAUCUCGUCCGUUCGCGGCGAUUAUCGGUCAAGAAUGAGCCUCAUCAGGUGAAUCGGCUCGAAAUGGUACCGACGUAACGCGAUUAAUACCCUGCCACUUCGUCCUGACGAUGCUUCAGCGAGACACCAAAUGUUGAAAGCAUGCAGCAUGCUCGAAGGAAUAUUAGAAAAUGGAAGAAUGGGAGGAAACGAGGAACUUGUGCACUUUUUCAUGGGUCGUAAUCUACGUAUAUUCGUGCUGCCUUCUUUCGACUCGUCGGCUCCGUUUAUCCUCCGUUUCUUCUUCGAUUGGACGCUGCGAAAGGGCUGCGUGCCGCCAAUUGAUUCGCGACACAAUGUCGGAUAACAUUGGAGAAUGCCGCUCAUCAGGUGAAUCGGCCGCAAAUGGUAGCCAGCUAAUAAGUGUUUAUUAUUCGACCGGUGUUCGUGCACGUGGUCGAGAGUGUACGUAAAUACGGAAGAACGAGCCGCGGCCACAAAGAGGAGAGAGAAAGUUACUGUUACGCUCGCCGUCCACGUUCAGCCGUCCGACGAUGACCGAGCAAAUUCGUCCUGAAGGUUCUACCCUCGAGCGGACGCCAGGUCGCACCGUGAAGCACGGAACAGCCGCACCGGUGACGCUCCGUUGCCCGUUUCACCGAGUCGUGAGUCGUCCACUUCGACGAUCCAAUUUUCCUGCCAGCUGCGACUAUACGCGUACUGAAAUCAGUAUUCCGUGGUUAGGCGAUUGCAAUCGACGUUCCUCAGAGGUGGAAGUAUCUCACAGGAGACUGUAGUAGUUGAAUCGACUGAAAUUUGAGAUUUGUGAUAUAGUUGAAUUCUGUUUAUGUAGCGGGAGACACAUUUUGUGUGAUAGAAAUUAUUCUCUUAUUGCUUGCGAUUGUUUAUGUACAUAACAGGCUUUAAUUAAUUGGAUUUAAUUAAAAGAAUUCAUUUAAUUAGAACUGCAAGUAUUAGUAGUAACUAUAAGUAUUUCUACUGCUUGUGAUUGUUUAUGUACACAACAGGCCUUAGGUAAUUGGAUUUAAUUAACAGAGUUCAUUUAAUUAGAAUUGCAAGCAGCUGUAAGUAUCUCUAUUGCUUGUGAUUGUUUAUGUACACAACAGGCUUUAGGUAAUUGGAUUUAAUUGACAGAGUUCAUUUAAUUAGAAUUGCAAGCAACUGUAAGUAUUUUCAUUGCUUGUGGUUGUUUAUGUACACAACAGGCUUUAGGUAUUUGGAUUUAAUUAACAGAAUUUAUUUAAUUAGAACUGCAAGUAAAACUUUGUUAGUUGAGGUUGAGGCUGGUGAUUGUUUAUGUACACAACAGGCUUUAGGUAUUUGGAUUUAAUUAACAGAAUUCAUUUAAUUAGAACUGCAAGUAUAAAACAUUGUUAGUUGAGGUUGAGGCUUGUGAUUGUUUAUGUACACAACAGGCUUUAAAUAAUUGGAUUUAAUUAACAGAAUUCAUUUAAUUAGAACUGCAAGUAAAACUUUGUUAGUUGAGGUUGAGGCUUGUGGUUGUUUAUGUACACAACAGGCUUUAAAUAAUUGGAUUUAAUUAACAGAAUUCAUUUAAUUAGAACUGCAAGUAAAACUUUAUUAGUUGAGGUUGAGGCUUGUGGUUGUUUAUGUACACAACAGGCUUUAAGAAUUUGGAUUUAAUUAACAGAAUUCAUUUAAUUAGAACUGCAAGCAACUGUAAGUAUUUCCAUUGCUUGUGGUUUUUUAUGUACAUAACAACAAGCUUUAAGUAUUUGGAUUUAAUUAAGAGAAUUCAUUUAAUUAGAACUGCAAGUAUAAAACAUUGUUAGUUGAGGUUCUGUUAAUUCCAUUUGUUUUGUAAUGGAAAGUAAUAGAGUAAAAUCUGAUUUAUCUGAAUAAUAAGGAAAGUUAUAGCAAGUUAAUGAAAAUCCACUUGAACCGACGAUACAGAACUGUAUUUAUAUUCUGAAAAUAGAAAAUGAACUUCUCUGUACUAAC